ACUCAAAUGAAUAGACGGGGGCCCGCACAAGCGGAGGAACAUGUGGUUUAAUUCGAUGAUACGCGAGGAACCUUACCUGGGCUUAAAUGUGCUAUGACCGCCGGAGAAAUUCGGCUUCCCGCAAGGGCAGAGUACAAGGUGCUGCAUGGUUGUCGUCAGCUCGUGCCGUGAGGUGUCGGGUUAAGUCCCAUAACGAGCGCAACCCUUAUUGUCAGUUGCUAACAGGUAAUGCUGAGGACUCUGGCGAGACUGCCACCGUAAGGUGUGAGGAAGGUGGGGAUGACGUCAAAUCAGCACGGCCCUUAUGUCCAGGGCUACACACGUGUUACAAUGGCCGAUACAAAGGGCAGCUACUCAGCGAUGAGAUGCUAAUCUCUAAAGUCGGUCUCAGUUCGGAUCGGAGUCUGCAACCCGACUCCGUGAAGCUGGAUUCGCUAGUAAUCGCGCAUCAGCCAUGGCGCGGUGAAUACGUUCCCGGGCCUUGUACACACCGCCCGU
rnacentral:rRNA from 1 species